GUGCUCACUUUGGCAGCACAUAUACUAAAAUUGAAACAACAUGGAGAUUAGCAUGGACCCUGUGCAAGGAUGACAUGCAAAUUCAUGAUGUGUUCCAUAUUUUU
ensembl:snRNA U6 U6 spliceosomal RNA